rnacentral:lncRNA from 1 species
AUGAUGCUUAUUUAGCUAAUAUUCAUUUUCCUGCUUUUCAGAACGUUGGAAUUACCUUUACAAGCUUCAGUUGUGGAGGGCCAAAAGGGUAUCAUUCUUCGAGCUAUUCAAGAAAUAUUUCAAAGCAUCUCUGAACAUCCUAACAUUGACUUUAAUGUGAAAGUAUCUUACAUAGAAGUGUACAAGGAAGACCUAAGAGAUCUUCUAGAAUUGGAGACAUCCAUGAAAGAUCUUCACAUCCGAAAAGAUGAAAAAGGAAACACAGGU